AAAAAAUCAGAGCAUAACCCGUUCUAACCCGAUUCCCUGCUCUGUUAUGUUAUGUCUGCCCUCCUCUGAUGCUUGGGAAAUCGUUUGUUCUGUGGGCUUCUCCUGAGGAGAUGGACGAUUUUCAGAGCUUGCAGAAAGAAUUUGAGACCACCUUCAACCAGAGAAGCCUCUGUGGAAAUGUGCCGUCACUGGCCAGUUGUUCUGUCUGUCUGCUGUGGAACCCAGGCCCGUGAGAAGAGCAGGGGAGGUAUAGUCAUUUCCCUUGUUUUACGGCAGAGGAAACUGAAGAUAAAGCUAUGAAGUGAAGCUGGCUAGUGGCUGCCUCAGGGUUACUACUGAUAUCACUGGACCCCUUCAGAACCAAGCAUGAAUGAAGCAAUCCUUUUUCCCACCUGCAAGUGAGGCUCUGAGGGAUUCUUCAGAAAUCAAGACUUUGACCCACUCCAUAUUAUGAAUGCCUCAGCCUACAAAGAGCUUGCCUAACCCAACAUCAAGGGGUGGACACGUGAUGCUGGACUUCCAGACUAACAAGCAUGGGCUGAUUCAGGUCCGAUACAGUAAUAUCAUACUGCUAUAAAAUGCAAGAUUAAUAAGUAAAAAGUUAACAUGGAAGCACCGCCAGAUCCUGAGGAAAUGGCAAAGCAACAUAUUUUAGCUGCUCAUAUAAAUAAAGAGUAGUCAACCUAGACUGUCAGAGCCGGAAAGACCCUUCAAGAUCGUCUACAUAUGAUAGUUUUCAAACGGCAGCUGGGUCCCAUUAGUGCUGCAGUUAUGAAAUCAGAUACUCAAAUCCAUAAAGUCCUGUUUGUUUUUCACACCUCUUUCCAUGAAGGUACUUCCAGCAUCACCAGAAGAUAUCCCAUAUUUAUCUAAAACAUGAAGAGAAUGUGGUAACAGCUAAUAUUUCAUUCUAGUGAUACUGUUUGCAACUACUAUGUCAAAAAUGCAUUGCAAUCCAAACUUGUGGUUUUGAAUACAGUUUGCCCAUAUUGCUGAAACCAUUCAUGACUAUUACAGAAGUCUUCAGCCUAAAAACGGAAAAUUGUGAAGAAAACACAGAACGUUUUGUUAAAAAUAACAGAUCUUGGCCAGAUGUCGUGACUCAUGCCUGUAGUCCCAGCACUUUAGGAGGUCAUGGCGGGCGGAUCGCUUGAGCUCAGGAGUUAGAGACCAGCCUGGGCAACGUGUUGAAACCCUGUCUCUACCAAAAACACAAAAAAUCAGCUGGGCGUGGUGACAUGUGCCUGGGCUGAGGUGGGAGGAUCACUUAAACCCAGAAGGUGGGGGUAGCAGUGAGCCAUGGUCACGCCCGCACUCCAGCCUGGGCGACAGGGCGAGACCCUGUCUCACAAAAACAAAAACAGAUCUUGAGUUAGUUCUUGCCCUUGUAAUAUUGUAGACUUUCACUUCUUGGCUAAGGAGAAAGCCCUCCCUCCCCAUUCCCUUCUCCAUACCUAUUUAGGGAGGGCAGCUCUCCUGCCGUUAGCUCUUGUGUAACACCCUGAAGGAUUACAGACUAACUUCUGUCCUCAGCAACUUCUGCCCAGAAAGAAGAUGAAUCUGACAUUUCCCAAAGAAAAGAAGAGAAAUUGCCCAGAACAUUGCCAUCAGUUUUUAUUCUAGGUCAUUCCCCCUAAGAAUAAAAGCCAGUGUUUCACCUCAGGGCAUAUCACUUACUGACAGCUUCUAGAAAACAUGAAAUUAAAAUCUGUUUCCAAAUGAGUAUUUUCUGUUUAAAUUAGUACGGGGGAUGCUGACUUUCUGGCAUGUUGAAAAUAACUUUAUAAAAAUACAAAAUGUUACUGCAAAGUAAUAUGAAUUUCUAGAAUUCUAUUACCCUCACUAAAUUGUCCAUAUAAGCCAUUGCUCGUGGUUUCAAAAGAUGUUAGGUGGUUUCUGAAAAUUCAAGCUACCAUAGUAUGGCAGUUACCAGGAGCUGGAGGGAGGGGGGAAUGGGAGUUAUUAAUUAAUGAGUACAGAGUUUCCAUUUUGCACAGUGAAAAAAGAUCUAAAGUUGGAUGGUGGUGAUGACUGCACAACAAAAUAAAUGAAGUUCAUCUCCCAAGACUGCACAUUUAAAAGUAAUUUAAAUGGUA
rnacentral:lncRNA from 1 species